ACCAGUGUGGUGUAGUGGCUUGAAUGUUGGGCUAUGGCUCAUGAGACCAGAGUUCGAUUCCCUGCUUGGGCA